UUUUGCAAUGGAGAGUUUGAUCCUGGCUCAGGAUGAACGCUAGCUACAGGCUUAACACAUGCAAGUCGAGGGGAAACGACAUCGAAAGCUUGCUUUUGAUGGGCGUCGACCGGCGCACGGGUGAGUAACGCGUAUCCAACCUGCCCACCACUUGGGGAUAACCUUGCGAAAGUAAGACUAAUACCCAAUGACGUCCAUAGAAGACAUCUGAAAUGGAUUAAAGAUUUAUCGGUGAUGGAUGGGGAUGCGUCUGAUUAGCUUGUUGGCGGGGUAACGGCCCACCAAGGCGACGAUCAGUAGGGGUUCUGAGAGGAAGGUCCCCCA
rnacentral:rRNA from 1 species